rnacentral:lncRNA from 1 species
GCAAGAUCUGAUCACAAUCAGAAUGUGGACAAGAUCAGUAUCAAGGACGCAAGUUUGAACCAGCUGUAAACAGGUCUUCUGUCUGUGAAUAUUGAGAAGGGCUGGUGGUUGUGGACGGUUGGCUGUGGAUUGGAGACAGAUGUGCUUGUGGAAACCGCUCUUGGGUGGUGCAAAAUAGAUCAACUGCCUCACAUGGGGUUGGAAAAGCAAAACAAUGGUUCACUCCAAGCCUCCCGCGACCGUGUUGCUCUAACGGUCAUUCAGAGUCAACUGUGACCGCUCUCAAUGGCAAACACUGUUGUCCCUCCCUUUAGUACCUGACUUAUCCUGCCCCUGUCCAGUUAAGUGGUGGAAAGUUUGGGAGAUGUGAACUCUGAUAGAGAAAUAGAUCAACCUCCACGAACAGGUUGGUGUAUUGGGGCGGCCUGUUCUGUCCUCAGACUAAAGCAAGAUGAUGUUUAAAGCUCACUAUGGAUCUACAAACAGUGUCAACUUGAAUUUGAGUGUGGCUGUGGAAGAUGGAUCCCUUCAUGAUGUAUGCAAGUGGCUGAGUACCAAUGAUCUCCGUGAUUCCAUCCCAUCAAGUUCACAGCUGCAGCAAACAGCCCAGCAAAAUGGCACACCAAUUGGCCUUCAGCAUGACAUAUCAACUGGCCAGCAACAGGACACAUCAAUCAGCCAAAGAGUCUGGCCACCUGUGUUUAGACUUCCAGGAUUUCCAGCCGUAUUCAAAUUCAAACGGGGAGGAGAAAAUUGCGAUGAUCUCCAUCGCCCUACUGUGCACUCGAAGUGGAGGUCUCGGAUUGUGCAGGUGUUCGAACGUCAUGUGUACCUACACUUGGUAACCCGCUACCCGGCAAUACAUGGAUGUGUGCACAGCGCUCAUUCAAAAGUACCCCUCGUUGAGAGACCAGACAGGGAAGUGAUAUACUCAGACUGA